rnacentral:misc_RNA from 1 species
GAUGAAGAACGUAGCGAAAUGCGAUAAGUAAUGUGAAUUGCAGAAUUCAGUGAAUCAUCGAAUCUUUGAACGCACAUUGCGCCCCUUGGUAUUCCGGGGGGCAUGCCUGUUCGAGCGUCAUUAUAACCCUCAAGCCUAGCUUGGUGUUGGAGCAUGCUAUCUAGCAGCUCUUAAAAUCAGUGGCAGUGCCCUUCGGCUCUAAGCGUAGUAACUUCUCUCGCUAUGGAAACCGGAUGGUACGCGCCAAAACCCCCAACUUUCUAUGGUUGACCUCGGAUCAGGUAGGGAUACCCGCUGAACUUAAGCAUAUCAAUAGCGGAGGA